AUUAUUGCUUACUUCGGAUUGACUCGUAAAGGCACAUGUACGUUUUGUUGUUCCGCAUGUGCUUCCGAUAUGUGCUAUUCAUUGUUCAUACUAUCCUUUUGUACUAUAGUGUUUGUGGGAUAUUGUGAACCUUCGCCAGAAAUGGUGAAGGGAGUUAUGUAUAGAGCCUGAGAUGCUCUGCCGGCCCCCUAUGACUUCACUCAGACGUGGGUGGAUGGAGCUCCCAGACGUGGGAGACUUAUGUUUGGUGGUCAUUCAAAAAUGGAUGUACCAUAUUAUGUUAUGGUCCCACUUCACCUUCUGUAUGUUUGAUAUGAUAUCCAGAGCUUUGGUUAUGUGUUUCUAUACAUGCUUUGGAUAAGAAUGAUAUGAAUGCAACAUCAAAGACGACGUUUGAGCUUCUGUUUGGUAUUUGUUAUU
rnacentral:lncRNA from 1 species